UGAUGUUUCAGUAUUGGUGCAAGUAUAAUUGGUGAUUUGCAAGGUAUUGUUACUGUUCCUUUGGUCCGUUUUGAUAAAUUUGAUCAACUCACCAUCCACACCGUUAGCAUUGCUAAAAUUAGGAAGUGAACCAAUGAUAUUUUAUUGUGGUUACUUUCUUUACUAUUUUAUUGGUUGCACGCACCACAAGUGGUGAUAUAAACUUGUUGGAAGUGUCAAUUCAAUAGUUGGCCACUGUUUUUCUGGCACACUACUGUUUCCAAUUUUUUUUUUCAGCCACGGUUUUCCUGUGCAGUUUUCUGCUUGCUGUUUGCAUAUCAUCAAACUUAGAUUUUCAAAUUGGAUUGUAGCAAAAGCUUGGUUCCAUUCCUGUUCACACAUACUUCAAAUCAUCAUUAAAAAAGUUUGGAAAAAGCAUCUGGACCAGUGCAAUCCAUUUUUAAACGCAUUUGCAGCAGCAACAUCAGCAAUUUUAGACCCAAAACUGGUUUUUCAUUGAGGCAUUUUGUCGAACAGAUUUGCCAAUUUUUUUUUUUGAGUUCGAUUUCAACAUCUCUGCAACAUGUUUUUGUUUUCUUGCUUUCUUAAUCCAUUCUAGAUCAUUUCCUAAGUUCAUUUUGCGUGCCAUCUUUUC
rnacentral:lncRNA from 1 species